ACACUUAUCUGGCAGGGGGGAUUCCAUGAUCAUGAAGGUGGUUUCCCCACAGUGAGGCCUAUCCAUUGCACUCAAGUUGGGCUGACCCCUAUGAUUUCCCCAAAUCCGGGAAACUCAACUGCAUAAUUGUGGUGGGAGACUGCAUUCACAUUCUCCCC
rnacentral:snRNA from 1 species